AGACCGAUCCAGACGAUCGCUCUGAGUUUCUCAGGGAGGAAAGUCCGAACUCAGGCUAGCAAUAGCAGCAGGGUAGCGGGUAACGCCCGUCCGUAGUGAUACGCGAGGUGCGAGCAGAGACGCUCGAAGAGAAAUCCUAGAGCAUCUGACCUCGGUCAGAUGAAUCCACUUGGCGACUUGUGGGGUGAAACGGCUAAAUCCUUACCUCUGUGCAAGGCCGUGCCCAGUAAUGGGAGCGCCGCUUGAGCCGUCUGGUAACAGGCGGCCCAGAUAGAUGAUCGUCCGUACUUCGGUACGACAGAAUUCGGCUUAUCGGAUCGGUCUAAAU
rfam:Parcubacteria bacterium C7867-007 C7867_00031, whole genome shotgun sequence.